GAUGAACGCUGGCGGCGUGCCUAAUACAUGCAAGUCGAGCGAAUGGAUUAAGAGCUUGCUCUUAUGAAGUUAGCGGCGGACGGGUGAGUAACACGUGGGUAACCUGCCCAUAAGACUGGGAUAACUCCGGGAAACCGGGGCUAAUACCGGAUAACAUUUUGAACCGCAUGGUUCGAAAUUGAAAGGCGGCUUCGGCUGUCACUUAUGGAUGGACCCGCGUCGCAUUAGUUAGUUGGUGAGGUAACGGCUCACCAAGGCAACGAUGCGUAGCCGACCUGAGAGGGUGAGCGGCCACACUGGGACUGAGACACGGCCCAGACUCCUACGGGAGGCAGCAGUAGGGAAUCUUCCGCAGUGGACGAAAGUCUGACGGAGCAACGCCGCGUGAGUGAUGAAGGCUUUCGGGUCGUAAAACUCUGUUGUUAGGGAAGAACAAGUGCUAGUUGAAUAAGCUGGCACCUUGACGGUACCUAACCAGAAAGCCACGGCUAACUACGUGCCAGCAGCCGCAGUAA
rnacentral:rRNA from 1 species